AGUAUAACACCAGACGCUGCCCUGCCGGAGAGAAUACCAUCUGCGUCCUCCGAGCAGGAGAGUAUAACAUCUGACGCUGCCCUGCUGGAAAGCAUAACACCUGACGCUGCCCAGCAGGAGAUUAUAACACUUUAUGCUGCCCUGCCAGAGAUAUUACCAUCUGCGUCCUCUGUGCAGGAGGGUCUAACAUCUGAAGCUGCCCAGCCGGAGAG